rnacentral:rRNA from 1 species
UACAGAGGGUGCAAGCGUUAAUCGGAAUUAUUGGGCGUAAAGCGUGUGUAGGUGGUAUAACAAGUCAGUCGUGAAAACCCCGGGCUCAACCUGGGAACUGCGAUUGAAACUGUUGAACUAGAGUGUGGAAGAGGGAAGUGGAAUUUCCGGUGUAGCGGUGAAAUGCGUAGAUAUCGGAAGGAACAUCAGUGGCGAAGGCGACUUCCUGGUCCAACACUGACACUCAGACACGAAAGCGUGGGGAGCAAACAGG